UGGGGAAUUUUGGACAAUGGGCGAAAGCCUGAUCCAGCAAUGCCGCGUGUGUGAAGAAGGCCUUCGGGUUGUAAAGCACUUUUGUCCGGAAAGAAAUCCUUGGCUCUAAUACAGUCGGGGGAUGACGGUACCGGAAGAAUAAGCACCGGCUAACUACGUGCCAGCAGCCGCGGUAAUACGUAGGGUGCAAGCGUUAAUCGGAAUUACUGGGCGUAAAGCGUGCGCAGGCGGUUUGCUAAGACCGAUGUGAAAUCCCCGGGCUCAACCUGGGAACUGCAUUGGUGACUGGCAGGCUAGAGUAUGGCAGAGGGGGGUAGAAUUCCACGUGUAGCAGUGAAAUGCGUAGGGAUGUGGAGGAAUACCGAUGGCGAAGGCAGCCCCCGUGGGCCAAUACUGACGCUCAUGCACGAAAGCGUGGGGAGCAAACAGGAUUAGAUACCCUGGUAGUCCACGCCCUAAACGAUGUCAACUAGUUGUUGGGGAUUCAUUUCCUUAGUAACGUAGCUAACGCGUGAAGUUGACCGCCUGGGGAGUACGGUCGCAAGAUUAAAACUCAAAGGAAUUGACGGGGUCAUAGCUGUUUCC
rnacentral:rRNA from 1 species